rnacentral:rRNA from 1 species
GUAGUCCACGCCCUAAACGAUGCGGACUGGACGUUGGGCUCAACUAGGAGCUCAGUGUCGAAGCUAACGCGUUAAGUCCGCCGCCUGGGGAGUACGGUCGCAAGACUGAAACUCAAAGGAAUUGACGGGGGCCCGCACAAGCGGUGGAGUAUGUGGUUUAAUUCGAUGCAACGCGCAGAACCUUACCUGGCCUUGACAUCCACGGAAGCCUUCAGAGAUGAGGGUGUGCCUUCGGGAACCGUGAGACAGGUGCUGCAUGGCUGUCGUCAGCUCGUGUCGUGAGAUGUUGGGUUAAGUCCCGCAACGAGCGCAACCCUUGUCCUUAGUUGCCAGCGAGUAAUGUCGGGAACUCUAAGGAGACUGCCGGUGACAAACCGGA